AUGACAGUAAGAAAGAGAUGUCACUAGGAGAAGUGAAGUUCUUAGGGCCAGUUCACAUCAAGACCUGUGUGAACCAGUCCCCACAUGCAGCAAAGACUCCACUUGGCAAUCCGCUCGAAUUUGCUGCCAGCAUCUGAAAAUCCCUGUUUAAGACCUCUCAGCAAUGUUGUCACCAGAAGCAAAGAGGGAGACUUUUUUGCUCCUCCUUUCUGCUGCUUGACAAAUCCAGGAAGGAGAGGAGAUGCCAUGUGAUCAACAGUUUAAAAGAAGCAGUAUUACUAGGCUUUGGACCAAACUUUCUUCAGUUUCAUGCUGCGACAGCACGACUUCCAUUUCGGUCUGCUAUGGGUCAUCUCACAGGAGAAUUACUCUUGCAAUACAGUGGCUCAGAUGCUUCAUUAAGCAAAACAGGACCAGGACAAUGAGGGGCAUCUUUACUGGUCCCAGUCACUCCCAGGAAAACUGUGGGUACAUGGAGAAGUUGCAAGCAAGCCCAAUUUGUGACAUGGCACAACAAAGGCAUCAAACUUAGCUUCUAAUUUCCCAGUUUUGUGGAACUUGAAUCAAACAUGAGAAAGCCUUAAGUAUUAUUAGGGCUGUGUACUAUGUUUGGCCGAGGCCCAAGCCAAGUAAAGCUUAUUUGGAGGCAUUUGUGCCUCGGCUGAGCUGGGUUGAGAUAGUCCCAGAUCUCUACAGGUCAGGUUGGGUGGCCCAGAGUGAUCUGGGACUACCAGAGGGUGGGGGGUCAGGCAGAAAGGAGAGGCAGGCAUGUGGGGAAAAAAGGAGAAACUGUGAAAAGGAGGCACCUGCUUGCAGGAGAAGGUAGGUGCCUUUCCUGCCAGACCUCUCCUUCUAACCAGGCCAACCCAAGGCUUGCACGGUUUCCAAAUCCUGGACAAGGUUGCAAAGGAGCAGUACCCCACAGUAUCAGCUGGCAAGCGGGAGGAUUCAUCCUAUGCAGUGCCAGUCACUGCUUGUUCAUGGGCAGCUUCCCUGCAUGCAGAGAAGCUGCUCACAAAGGAGCAGCAACCAGCAGCGCACAGGAUGGAAUCCUCCCACUUAGGAUGAUUCCAUCCUGUGCGGUGCAGGUUGCACCUGCCUGCUCUCAGUCAGGGUGGAGGAAGGAGACGCUCCCUCCUGACCAUAAAAAAAACCUUAGCUCUGCCCCCAGAUCGCUUCAGAUUUGGAUCCAGGGCGUGGUAGGUGGUCCCCCCUUCACCACAGGGCAGAUUGGCCCUCCCGGGAGCCCACAGAUUGGGGCCACAGGGCAGAUAGGGAGGGCUGCGCACAGCCCUAAGUCUGAUUUUAAACUGGCAGGGUUUUUUUAACCAUUUGAAAUAGAAUCAGCAUGGAGCUUGUGUGUAUAUGUAUUUCCAAACGUAUAACACAUAGAAGUGCCUCUUGCGUCCUGGUCAGCCAACCCAAGCUGCAGAAGGGACUGGGACCCAACGUCUUUCCCCCACACUUCCUCUUCAGCUCUCUCCAUAAAAUAUAUUCUCAAGGACCCCAUCCCCCCCGGUUUGGGAGUCCAUGCAUUUCAAAAAAAUAUUUUCUAUCUGGUGGGAGCAUUGAAGAUGGCUUUCAGUCUUGAAAAUGACUACAUUGAUUGACUAGCUCUGGAAGAGAAGAAUGCUUUAGUUUAGUGGAAGAAAACAUUAUCUCCAUUAAUAAAAGUAGUUGCCCUAUAGAGACAUGCUGUGUCCAAGAAUACUGUACCAAUCCACUGAGAUCACCACCUGAGGCUUUUAUAUAGUGCCCCCCUCCACCAUAUGAAGUACAGUUAGUGGCAACUGAAGAAAGAACCUUCUCAAUGGUGGCUCUUUCACCUUGGGCAUGCACUCCCUAGGGAGACCCUCCUGGUACCCUCACUGAUAACACUGAGGCAUCAGAUAAAAAAGAACUUUUGAGAACUGCCAACGCUCAAUUUGGUUUUUUAAAAAAACUUAAGAGCACUGUUGAUUUUAUCAUCUAUUAGGUCAAUUGUGUUAGUUUGUGUGCUCUGUCUUAUUUAUUGCCAUUUAAUGUACUUGCAUUGUUUCUUACUGAUUUGUUAGUCACCCUGAGAACAUAAAUUUAUGGUGACGGUGUGGGAUAUAAAUUAUGUAAACAAAUGUUAAUGUUGUUAAAAAAUUAAAUGUCACAGACUCUGA